rnacentral:rRNA from 1 species
UACGAACCGUACGAACGUUAUUCGGAAUCACUGGGCUUAAAGGGUGCGUAGGCGGCGCGACAAGUUGGGUGUGAAAUCCCUCGGCUCAACCGAGGAACUGCGCCCAAAACUGUCGUGCUCGAGGGAGACAGAGGUGAGCGGAACUUAGGGUGGAGCGGUGAAAUGCGUUGAUAUCCUAAGGAACACCGGUGGCGAAAGCGGCUCACUGGGUCUCUUCUGACGCUGAGGCACGAAAGCUAGGGUAGCGAACGGG